GACGAACGCUGGCGGCGUGCUUAACACAUGCAAGUCGAGCGGAGCGGCGAACGGGCGCGUAACGCGUGAGUAACUGCACCCCUCUCUGGGAUAACAGUUGGAAACGGCUGCUAAUACCGGAUAGUGGGGGAUGACUCGCGUCCUAUCAGCUUGUUGGUGGGGUAGUGGCCUACCAAGGCGACGACGGGUAGCCGGCCUGAGAGGGCGACCGGCCACAUGGGGCUGAGAUACGGGCCGAACGCCUACGGGAGGCAGCAGUGGGGAAUAUUGCGCAAUGGGGGAAACCCUGAUGCAGCAACGCCGCGUGCGGGAGGACGGUCUUCGGGUUGUAAACCGCUUUCAGCAAUGACGCGGAAGUGGCAGAAGAAGCACCGGCUAACUACGUGCCAGCAGCCGCGGUAAUUC
rnacentral:rRNA from 1 species